rnacentral:rRNA from 1 species
AAUAUUGGACAAUGGGCGAAAGCCUGAUCCAGCCAUGCCGCGUGUGUGAAGAAGGUCUUCGGAUUGUAAAGCACUUUAAGUUGGGAGGAAGGGCAGUAAGUGAAUACCUUGCUGUUUUGACGGUACCAACAGACUAAGCACCGGCUAACUUCGUGCCUGCAGCCGCGGUAAUAUAGAGGGUGCAAGCGUUAAUCGGAAUUACUGGGCGUAACGCGCGCGUUGGUGGUUUGCCAAGUUGGAAGUGAAAUCCCCGGGCUCAACCUGGGAACUGCUUUCAUAACUGCUGAGCUAGAGUACGGUAGAGGGUAGUGGAAUUUCCUGUGUAGCGGUGAAAUGCGUAGAUAUAGGAAGGAACACCAGUGGCGAAGGCGACUACCUGGACUGAUACUGACACUGAGGUGCGAAAGCGUGGGGAGCAAAC